GGGUUGUGAGGUUAAGCGACUAAGCGUACACGGUGGAUGCCCUGGCAGUCAGAGGCGAUGAAGGACGUGCUAAUCUGCGAUAAGCGCCGGUAAGGUGAUAUGAACCGUUAUAACCGGCGAUUUCCGAAUGGGGAAACCCAGUGUGACUCGUCACACUAUCAUUAACUGAAUCCAUAGGUUAAUGAGGCGAACCGGGGGAACUGAAACAUCUAAGUACCCCGAGGAAAAGAAAUCAACCGAGAUUCCCCCAGUAGCGGCGAGCGAACGGGGAGGAGCCCAGAGCCUGAAUCAGCAUGUGUGUUAGUGGAAGCGUCUGGAAAGGCGCGCGAUACAGGGUGACAGCCCCGUACACAAAAGCGCAUAUGCUGUGAGCUCGAUGAGUAGGGCGGGACACGUGGUAUCCUGUCUGAAUAUGGGGGGACCAUCCUCCAAGGCUAAAUACUCCUGACUGACCGAUAGUGAACCAGUACCGUGAGGGAAAGGCGAAAAGAACCCCGGCGAGGGGAGUGAAAAAGAACCUGAAACCGUGUACGUACAAGCAGUGGGAGCACCCUUUGG
rnacentral:rRNA from 1 species